AGUAGCCGCGGUAAUUCCAGCUCCAAUAGCGUAUAUUAAAGUUGUUGCAGUUAAAAAGCUCGUAGUUGAAUUUCGGGGUUAGCAGGUCGGUCGUGCCAUCGGUAUGAACUGGUCUCGCUGAUCCCUCCCUCUUGACGAACUGUGAUGCCAUUAAUUUGGUGUCGCAGGGAAUCAGGACUGUUACUUUGAAAAAAUUAGAGUGUUUAAAGCAGGCUCACGCUUGAAUACAUUAGCAUGGAAUAAUGAAAUAGGACGUUUGAUUCUAUUUUGUUGGUUUCUAGGAUUGACGUAAUGAUUAAUAGGGAUAGUUGGGGGCAUUAGUAUUCAAUUGUCAGAGGUGAAAUUCUUGGAUUUAUUGAAGACUAACUACUGCGAAAGCAUUUGCCAAGGAUGUUUUCAUUAAUCAAGAACGAAAGUUAGGGGAUCGAAGACGAUCAGAUACCGUCAUAGUCUUAACCAUAAACUAUGCCGACUAGGGAUUGGAUGAUGUUAAUUUUUUUAAUGACUCAUUCGGCGCCUU
rnacentral:rRNA from 1 species